rnacentral:misc_RNA from 1 species
AUUAAAAAAUGGUCCAAUGGAAGUGCUCAAUACAAAAUAAACAUUACUUUACUGAGCUUGACCUACACUAUCAUAUCCCCAAACUUGCCCCUGGUGGGCGGAAAGUAGAAAGUCCUCUACAUUCUAACAAAAUGUAUAACGCACAACAAAAUAAAGGAGCAAAUCUAUCAAACUCUUAAAUGUAUAAUACAAGAGCAAAGAAAAGCUUGGUAGCUGCCUCCUGCACCCACCUCCUCCUGUGGUUGCAGUUA